rnacentral:rRNA from 1 species
GCGGAGGAAAAGAAACCAACAGGGAUUGCCCUAGUAACGGCGAGUGAAGCGGCAACAGCUCAAAUUUGAAAUCUGGCUCUUUCAGAGUCCGAGUUGUAAUUUGCAGAGGGCGCUUUGGCUUUGGCAGCGGUCCAAGUUCCUUGGAACAGGACGUCACAGAGGGUGAGAAUCCCGUACGUGGUCGCUAGCUAUUGCCGUGUAAAGCCCCUUCGACGAGUCGAGUUGUUUGGGAAUGCAGCUCUAAAUGGGAGGUAAAUUUCUUCUAAAGCUAAAUAUUGGCCAGAGACCGAUAGCGCACAAGUAGAGUGAUCGAAAGAUGAAAAGCACUUUGGAAAGAGAGUCAAACAGCACGUGAAAUUGUUGAAAGGGAAGCGCUUGCAGCCAGACUUGCUUGCAGUUGCUCAUCCGGGCUUUUGCCCGGUGCACUCUUCUGCAGGCAGGCCAGCAUCAGUUUGGGCGGUGGGAUAAAGGUCUCUGUCAUGUACCUCUCUUCGGGGAGGCCUUAUAGGGGAGGCGACAUACCACCAGCCUAGACUGAGGUCCGCGCAUCUGCUAGGAUGCUGGCGUAAUGGCUGUAAGCGGCCCGUCUUGAAACACGGGACC